UGGGGUGUAGCCAAGUGGUAAGGCAACGGAUUUUGAUUCCGUCUACCGAAGGUUCGAAUCCUUCCACCCCAGCCA
rnacentral:tRNA from 1 species